GGUAGUCCACGCCGUAAACGAUGUCGACUUGGAGGUUGUGCCCUUGAGGCGUGGCUUCCGGAGCUAACGCGUUAAGUCGACCGCCUGGGGAGUACGGCCGCAAGGUUAAAACUCAAAUGAAUUGACGGGGGCCCGCACAAGCGGUGGAGCAUGUGGUUUAAUUCGAUGCAACGCGAAGAACCUUACCUGGUCUUGACAUCCACGGAAGUUUUCAGAGAUGAGAAUGUGCCUUCGGGAACCGUGAGACAGGUGCUGCAUGGCUGUCGUCAGCUCGUGUUGUGAAAUGUUGGGUUAAGUCCCGCAACGAGCGCAACCCUUAUCCUUUGUUGCCAGCGGUCCGGCCGGGAACUCAAAGGAGACUGCCAGUGAUAAACUGGAGGAAGGUGGGGAUGACGUCAAGUCAUCAUGGCCCUUACGACCAGGGCUACACACGUGCUACAAUGGCGCAUACAAAGAGAAGCGACCUCGCGAGAGCAAGCGGACCUCAUAAAGUGCGUCGUAGUCCGGAUUGGAGUCUGCAACUCGACUCCAUGAAGUCGGAAUCGCUAGUAAUCGUGGAUCAGAAUGCCACGGUGAAUACGUUCCCGGGCCUUGUACACACCGCCCGUCACACCAUGGGAGUGGGUUGCAAAAGAAGUAGGUAGCUUAACCUUCGGGAGGGCGCUUACCACUUUGUGAUUCAUGACUGGGGUG
rnacentral:rRNA from 1 species